GCAGGCUGCAACCCGCCUGCAUGAAGUCGGAAUUGCUAGUAAUCGCGGAUCAGCAUGCCGCGGUGAAUACGUUCCCGGGCCUUGUACACACCGCCCGUCACACCAUGGGAGCCGGUAAUACCCGAAGUCAGUGACCCAACCUUAGGGAGGGAGCUGUCGAAGGUGGAGCCGGUAACUGGGGUGAAGUCGUAACAAGGUAGC
rnacentral:rRNA from 1 species